AACAUCGCGCACCUGCGGGAACCUGCGGAGGGAUCAUUACUGAGUCACGUGCUCAAACAACCCUUCUGUGGACCUGAAAUAAAACCGCUGCCUCGGCGGGCGGUCCCCCCCAAACCAACCCCACGUGGUGGGUUAGGGGAGACCAGACAGUCCGGUACGCUUAAGGCGUCCGGCGCCAGCCGCUGGCCCCAAACAAUUAAACUCUAGUAAUCUUUACCUUCUGAGUUUCAAUAUUUAAAA
rnacentral:misc_RNA from 1 species